AAGGAACUCUCACUGCGCCCUUGUUUGGACAAGACGAGGAGGCGCACUCAGAGUCAGAGACCCCGGGGCAGAGACAGGGGCAAGAAGAAGGGGCCACCGAGACCCCAAGAGAGUCAGGGAGACAGACGCACCAAACGACCGACACAACCAGGGACAGGGAGGAAAAGUUGCCUAUCUGUUGGGUCAGAUUUCUGAAGACUGAUGAGGCCCAUUUUCUGACAAACGGCAAGAGUUUAGAAAGUACCAGUGACGUGCCUGAUAGAAUCUCACCACAAGAUGGAAGCCAACUCGUCAGAAGCCUGGAAAGCCCACCCAGCGUGGGACCUCUGUGGGUCCAGGAUCUUGGAAUGGUAUCCCAUGGUUCAAUCUUCUGGAUUCAACCACAUAAAUUUACCCCACCCAUGUCGUGGACCCAAGCUUCCUACCAUGUAUACUUAGCUUAAAUGCAAGAUAGUACUAUUUUGUUCAUCUUGAUUGGAGUGAGAAAUGAAUAGGUCCAUGCACAUAUAUUUCUUUUACCACAACAAGAUGAUGAAGAAAUAAAUCCAUAAUAUCGAUACUUUUGUAUAAGUUGUGUUUACAGUUGCGGUAAGAAAUUUUAUAAUUGUUGAUUUGCUUUAUAUAAUUUCUGCUUGCUUUUUAUGAUAUUUAAAACAAAAUCUAAGCAACAAAUUUUAUGUCUGAUUAGAUUUACAGAAGCUGCUUAAGUGCUUAGGGAUAAUUUGUUCAUCAUAUUUGUAAGUCUCCCUUGUUAGGUGUUUGAAGUGUUUGAAUUGGCUAAAUUAAAUUUGUAAUUGUAGUUUGAAAUAUCUAAAGGAAUUUUCUUAAUUAAGUGUUUAAAUGAUGUUAAAAGUUUGUGGGAAUUUAAUCUAUCAAAUUUAUGAGUUAAUUGAAUAUGAAUCAAUGAACAAGUAAAUGUGAUCUUGCUUUUAUAUAAAAACUACUAAGUUCAUAAAUAAAAUACAAAGAUCCAUAAGUUGAGAGGAAAAGCAAAAGAGCCAGAUUCUAAGAUCUAUAACUUAAAAAAAUUAAAUAUUGAUUGAAAUGUAAGUCAUUGCAAUUAUCCCCACUAGCUGAAAUCUCACAUCUGAGUGCUUACACACAAAACAAAA
ensembl:lncRNA LINC01778 long intergenic non-protein coding RNA 1778